UGGUGGUUCAGUUUUAGAAUUCUCGCCUUUUAUGUGAGAGACCCAGGUUCAACUCCUGGCCA
rnacentral:tRNA from 1 species